GGGGCUAUAGCUCAGCUGGGAGAGCGCCUGCUUUGCACGCAGGAGGUCUGCGGUUCGAUCCCCAUAGCUCCACCA
rnacentral:tRNA from 1 species